CAAGUAGGAAAAUAAAGUCCUGAAACUACUUUCUUAGUAGGCCUGGAUCCCGCGUACCAAAAGAAAGUUUAAUAACAGCAACCUGAAAAUUUGUCAGUAGCUUAACGGUGUCUAUUCGGACAAACAUUCAUGUACGGGAACACUGGAACAGGGGAAGUUUUAUUUGUGGAACAGGUGAAGUUUUUUUGUGGAACAGGUUACAGGUUACAUGUAUUUUGUCAGACAGAACUUCCAAUUGAAUAGUUACCCUUUCAUUAAACUCUCAUGCAAAACUCAGACUGCUAUUUAUCAUCAACAUAAUUUCGGACAUUCUAAAUGUUCUACGUGUCGGACUUAAUAAAAUGCCCAACAUAUUUGUCGGACAAAUAAUAUUUUUUCAUAUAUUAUAUAAUGUUUGCUCUAGAAUGAACUGAAAAACAACCCGCUAGUUUUCACAAUCAUGAACUUGUCAGGAUGACAAGUUUCACAAUUAAAAUCACGUGCCAAAAUUAAAAUUUCCCCUGUUCCAGUAUUUCCAUACAUCAAAUUUUGUCCGACUAGACACCAGCUUAACAAAUUUUUAACUUGCUGUUAAUAAACUUCUUUGAUACGCGGGAUCCAGACCUAUAGAGUACUUUAGUCUAAUGUAAAAAAUAUUGUGUUUAUUACCAAAGAACGGCAGUUCUCCACGCAACCGUGCUACACUAUAUAUACACGAAAUUUUCGAUUUUUCUAAAUCUGACGAAAUUGAAAAUUGUACCAACUCCCAUCUUAAAGUUCAGGAAAAGACUCACCCAUGCAUAUAUCAACCAUCCAUUCUGGUCCAAGGGUGUGGAUUUUACGGCCCUUCCUAUUUAGGUCCUGUUUUUCGUUCUCGUCCCCAAAACUCCCAAGAAUUUCGAAAAUUUAAAUACGACCUUUGCGGCUUCUAAUAGUACUGAUCGUUACCUUUCCAAUGCAUGUCUAAUUUUGAAAGUCGGUUGUGUAAUACCAUUCAAAAGUUACCGAGCUCAGAAAUAUGACUCAAUUUCUAUUUAAAAAAGGGAAAAUGUUUGUGGAUAUGUAUGUAUGUAUGCAUGUGGAAAAGUUAAACCGAUCUGAAUUUUUUUUCUGUGUUUGAAGAGGGAUCAGGGCCGAUUCAGAACCGGUGUAGUUUGUGACUUUUGACUACCCAUAAGCCAGCUAUAGGACUUGGUAGGUACAAAACAGCAUAUUUUUUGGGGUAUAUAUCUUCGGUUCAAGAAGAGACACGAGAACCGCAUAUACACCAAAUCAAUAGUGUUGAGUUAAGCUUUCAAAUGGUGUUUAAGCCCUCAGGAUCAGACAUACACACGGCUCAGUGUCUCCGAAAAACUGAAAAACUAAAAUUUGAAAAUUUUGGAUUUUCGACAAUUACUCAAAAUUGCAACCUAGGAAUUGCGCUAAUAACUGAGAUUUUGUAGAAGGACUCUAGCUAGACGAAUCUGACGGUGUAUACCUUAUAUCUAGGAAAAUUCGAAUUUUUAAGUUAUAGGCUUCAUAAAUAUUAUCAAAUAUAUUUCUUAUGGGAAAAACGGUUUUUCAAGCUCAAUACUUCCUGUAAUAGCUUCAGUUAUCAUGCUUGACCUUAGAUGCAUCAGAUACUACUUACGUCAAUAAGUUUCAAACUCAUGUUUAGUGAUCAAAAUCGGUUAAGCCGUUUAGAAGUUGUGAAGCUACAAACGUAUAAUAAAAUUAACGAUUACUCCCGAAAUGGUUUAUGUAGUUGUAGUGGUUCCGACGCUAAAUUUGAUCUGGCAACGAGCAAUCCGAGUUCAUUAACCGGCCAUCCCAAUAAAUUUUUUCAAUCUAUUUCGAAUAGAAAAAAAUCUGGUGUACAUUCGAUGGACACUAUAUCAUUUUGGAGAUAACGCGACAAAGGCGACCAUUUAUAAAGCUUAACUUGUAAUCGAGAAAAAUUGCAUUCAACUUCAUACAUUUAAUUUAUCAAAAAAACUUUGAAAAACUCCUAAUAUAAGAAUAAAAAACAGCUAAACGCCGUAAAAAUGAGUGGCGCACAUACAAUAUUCCACCUACAAAAUAUCUGAUAUGAAUAUUACGUGGCGCAAAAAUGUAUUUUCAUUAUGAUGCAAAAUAAAAUUUUAGUUUUAUUUUAAAAGAUUUUCCAUAAUAUUUGCUAAAUUAGAAGUAAACGCGCCACAAAAGGGUUUCAAAAUUCAAACUGUAUCAAAGUUACUCUUUUGUGGCGCGCUUUACUUCAAAUUUAGCAAAUAUUAUGGAAAAAUCUUUUAAAUUUAAACUAGGAUUUUGUUUUGCAUCAAAAUGAAAAUACAUUUUCGCGCAACGUAAUAUUCAUAUCACAUCUUUUGUAGCUGGAAUAUUGUAUGCGUCACUCAUUUUUACGGCGUUUAGCGGUUUUUUAUUCUUGUAUGGGAUUAAUCCCCAAUUAUUGGUGUAAUGAAAAUUACAUUUUAAAAUAAUUAAAUUAAAGAAAAUAGAACUUAAAAGUUCAAAAUCGGUAUACUUUAAAAAAUGUAUUUUCUC